UAACACGUAUGCAACCUACCUGUAAGAGGGGAAUAACCCGGAGAAAUUCGGACUAAUACCGCAUAAUACUGCAAAGCUGCAUGGCUUUGUAGUUAAACAUUUAUGGCUUACAGAUGGGCAUGCGUAUGAUUAGAUAGUUGGUGAGGUAACGGCUCACCAAGUCAACGAUCAUUAGGGGUUCUGAGAGGAAGGUCCCCCACACUGGUACUGAGAUACGGACCAG
rnacentral:rRNA from 1 species